rnacentral:lncRNA from 1 species
AAGUCAUUUCAGCACUUCCAGUUCAGAGCUCACGGGCCAGACACGGAGGGCAGCCUCUCCCCGGGCAGACAGGCUGGCAGCAAGGCAGCGGAGCCGGAGCAAUCCCCCGGCCUGAGUGAGAGGAAGAUGAAGGUCCUGCUGACGCUGGCGGUGCUGUUUGCCUGCAGUAAGUGCAGCCGUUCCCCAAUCCGCGGAUGGGAGCCAGGCUGCAGCCCCGCGCCGAUGCAGGGAGCAUCCCCAAACCCCUGUGCACUCCACGGGGAGACUCCCAGCAAAGCCCUCCUCUCUCCCCUGGUUCCCCGGGCCUUAUUUCUGCAUAUAACUUGCAAAAAUCACAUUUUCCGGUUACUCUAGGUGUGUUCGUGGCUCACGGGAAGCUCCCACGCAUGUUCACACCGGGACUCGAAGGAAGCACCGUAGGAAAUCUGACCGCCUACAGCUGUUACUCGGGAUGGGGCAGCAGCGGCACAUCGAGGGCUUCAGUGGACCGGUGCUGCUUGCUCCGUGCCUGCUGCUACGCCAAGCUGGCUGCACGGCGGUGCCGCGUGGGACCCAUCCAGCCCUUCUUGGUGCCCCGGGCAAGAAUCCCCACCUGCCGUAAGUCCCUGCGGUCGUGGUUCGGGAUGCCUCUUUCCAGACCAUCUCCCUCCUUUGUGGUGCCCUUUUUUGGGGCAGCACCCCGGGGAUCUUCCCGAAAAGAAGGUCUCAGACAUGCUUUCUCUCCGGUCCCUGCAGGCUCCGGGACUUGGUGCCAGAGAGGUGCCUGCAGGUGCGAGCAGGCAGCCUGGCUCUGCCGGAUGCGUGGCCGGGGGAUGCUCCGGCGUCGCGGCAAGUGCCGGGGACGAGGCGGGCGGUGUUGAAGCAAAAAGGCUCUUUGCAAAACCACCUCCAGGCUGAUAAGUAAAAGGGACGGUGCGGAGCCGGGAGCAUUUCCCAGCCCUGGCGGGUCUCCUCCUCGGGGCUUUUUGGCUUUGACACGAGGACAACAACGCUCUGGUGAAGUUGCGUCAUUAUACACUGGAUCCGAGGAGGGAGAGCAGCGCAGAUGCAAUGUUUCAGCACAGAAAAACAAGGGAGGGGUGGACACCUGCGCUUCGUCGCUGCGAAGGGCGAGAUGGAAACCAGCGCGAGCCUCUGUGCUGACACUCAUUUCCCCUUGGCUCGAGCUCCCCGUGCAGCCUGUCAGCUCCCUCUGCUUUUUGCUUCACCGCAGAUUCACUUCCGUUGCUCCAAAAUAAAACCAGAGAGCAC